ensembl:misc_RNA 7SK 7SK RNA
GGAUGUGAAGGUGAUUUGACUGUGACAUCUGUCACCCCAUUGAUUUGGCUGAUCUGGCUGGCUAGGUGGGUGGGUGUCCCCUUCCUCCCUCAUUGCUCCACAUGCACUCUUCUUAAAGCUGCAUGCUUCGUUGAAGAGGACGACCUUCCUCAAAUAGGAUCAGCCUUUGGUUGAGGGUAUACAGAAGCUGUACUCCCCUACUAGAACCUUUGAACAACUCUCAUGAAUAGUGCACAGUCAUAGAACUGAUAGUCAAGUAUGGGAGGUAAUAAAAUAGAGACCGAUGGCAAUCCUUAAGGAAUCCCCAAGGAUUAGUGACUAAUUA